GGGGAAUUUUGGACAAUGGGGGCAACCCUGAUCCAGCCAUUCCGCGUGAGUGAAGAAGGCCUUCGGGUUGUAAAGCUCUUUCGGCAGGAACGAAACGGUAAUCCCUAAUACGGGUUGCUAAUGACGGUACCUGCAUAAGAAGCACCGGCUAACUACGUGCCAGCAGCCGCGGUAAUACGUAGGGUGCGAGCGUUAAUCGGAAUUACUGGGCGUAAAGCGUGCGCAGGCGGUUUCGUAAGACAGAUGUGAAAGCCCCGGGCUCAACCUGGGAAUGGCGUUUGUGACUGCGAGACUAGAGUAAGGCAGAGGGGGGUGGAAUUCCGCGUGUAGCAGUGAAAUGCGUAGAUAUGCGGAGGAACACCGAUGGCGAAGGCAGCCCCCUGGGCUAUUACUGACGCUCAUGCACGAAAGCGUGGGGAGCAAAC
rnacentral:rRNA from 1 species